rnacentral:rRNA from 1 species
UACGUAGGGUCCGAGCGUUUGUCCGGAAUUAUUGGGCGUAAAGGGCUUGUAGGCGGUCUGUCACGUCGGAAGUGAAAACUCAGGGCUUAACCCUGAGCCUGCUUCCGAUACGGGCAGACUAGAGGGAUGCAGGGGAGAACGAAUUCCUGGUGGAGCGGUGGAAUGCGCAGAUAUCAGGAGGAACACCGGUGGCGAAGGCGGUUCUCUGGGCAUUUCCUGACGCUGAGAAGCGAAAGCGUGGGGAGCAAACAGG